rnacentral:tRNA from 1 species
UAAAUAAGAAGCAAUUUGCAUUUAAUUUCGACUUAAAAGAUAGAAUAUAUAUAAAUAUUCCUUAUUUAA